UGGCUUGGAAGCAGCCAUUCAUUUAAAGAGUGCGUAACAGCUCACUAGUCGAGCGUUCUUGCGCGGAAAAUGAUCGGGCAUCAAGAUAGUUACCGAAGCUAUGGUCACGUGUUAAAGCGUGAGGUAGGGGAGCAUUCUAAUAUUGAAGAAGGUGUACUGUGAGGUAUGCUGGAGAGAUUAGAAAAGAAAAUGUAGGCAUAAGUAACGAUAAGGAAGGUGAGAUCCCUUCCCGCCGUAAGACUAAGGUUUCCUUGAUCUAUGCUAAUCAGAUCAGGGUUAGUCGGGACCUAAGGUGUAGCCGAGAGGCGAAGCCGAUGGCAAACGGGUUAAUAUUCCCGUACCUGUGUAUACUGCGAUGUGGUGACGGAGAAACGUAAGGAUUGCGAACUGACGGAAUAGUUCGUUGAAGUGGUUAGGCGUUGAUAGUGUAGGUAAAUCCGCACUAGAGCUGAGACACGAUAGUACACUGGUGCGCGUGCGCAUUGGUGAUAAUGUCCCCAAGUAUGCUUCCAAGAAAACCCACUAAGCUUCAGGUAUACAGAGCCCGUACCGUAAACCGACACAGGUAGUCGAGGAGAGUAUCCUAAGGCGCUCGAGUGAAUCAUGGCUAAGGAAUUAGGCAAAAUGGCCUCGUAACUUCGGGAGAAGAGGCGCUCAUGUAAAAGUGAGCCGCAGUGAAAAGGCCCAGGCGACUGUUUAGCAAAAACACAGGACUCUGCGAAAUCGAAAGAUGAAGUAUAGGGUCUGACACCUGCCCGGUGCUGGAAGGUUAAGGAAGGUGCUUAGCGCAAGCGAAGGUAUUGACUGAAGCCCCAGUAAACGGCGGCCGUAACUAUAACGGUCCUAAGGUAGCGAAAUUCCUUGUCGGGUAAGUUCCGACCUGCACGAAUGGUGUAACGAUCUGGGCACUGUCUCAGCCAUGAGCUCGGUGAAAUUGAAGUAUCGGUGAAGAUGCCGGUUACCCGCAGUGGGACGAAAAGACCCCGUGCACCUUUACUAUAGCUUCACAUUGAGCUUGAGUAUAAGAUGUGUAGGAUAGGUGGGAGACGUUGAAGUUGUCACGCUAGUGGUGAUGGAGUCGCCGUUGAAAUACCACCCUUCUUAUACUUAGGUUCUAACUUCGCUGAAGGCGGAGGACAUUGUGUGGUGGGUAGUUUGACUGGGGUGGUCGCCUCCAAAAGAGUAACGGAGGCUUGCAAAGGUUCCCUCAGCAUGGUCGGUAAUCAUGCGUAGAGCGUAUUAGUAUAAGGGAGCUUGACUGGGAGACCGACGGGUCGAUCAGGGACGAAAGUCGGCUAAAGUGAUCCGGUGGUUCCG
rnacentral:rRNA from 1 species